rnacentral:rRNA from 1 species
GACGAACGCUGGCGGCGUGCUUAACACAUGCAAGUCGAACGGAAAGGCCCUGCUUUCGUGGGGUGCUCGAGUGGCGAACGGGUGAGUAACACGUGAGUAACCUGCCCUUGACUUUGGGAUAACUUCAGGAAACUGGGGCUAAUACCGGAUAGGAGCUCCUGCUGCAUGGUGGGGGUUGGAAAGUUUCGGCUGUUGGGGAUGGACUCGCGGCUUAUCAGCUUGUUGGUGGGGUAGUGGCUUACCAAGGCUUCGACGGGUAGCCGGCCUGAGAGGGUGAACGGCCACAUUGGGACUGAGAUACGGACCAGACUCCUACGGGAGACAGCAGUGGGGAGUAUUGUACAAUGGGCGGAAGCGUGAUGAGGAAGCGCCGGGUGCGGGAUGACGGCCUUCGGGUUGUAAACCGCAUUCGCCUGUGACGAAGCGUGAGUGACGGUACUGGGUGAAGAAGCACCGGCUAACUACGUG